rnacentral:sRNA from 2 species
GCAGCACCUCGUUAGGCGAGGCUCCUGCGCGAACACAGGCCACUGAUCUGACGACAUCGAGAGAUGCCCAAGAUCAGGACAGGCCACCUCGGCUUAAGGGGUGGUCCCAAGUGGCUUCCAAUGCUUUUCGGAUACGUCGCGCAGUGCCAAAGCUCUACGUGGGGGUGACUU